rnacentral:rRNA from 1 species
ACGGUGACGAUGGAGCUUGCUCUGUCUGAUCAGUGGCGAACGGGUGAGUAACACGUGAGUAACCUGCCCCCGACUCUGGAAUAACCGUGGGAAACGACGGCUAAUACCGGAUAUGAGACGCACGGGCAUCUGUGUGUCUGGAAAGAUUUAUCGGUCAGGGAUGGACUCGCGGCCUAUCAGCUUGUUGGUGGGGUAAUGGCCCACCAAGGCGACGACGGGUAGCCGGCCUGAGAGGGCGACCGGCCACACUGGGACUGAGAUACGGCCCAGACUCCUACGGGAGGCAGCAGUGGGGAAUAUUGCACAAUGGGCGCAAGCCUGAUGCAGCGACGCCGCGUGAGGGAUGAAGGCCUUCGGGUUGUAAACCUCUUUCAGCAGGGAAGAAGCGAAAGUGACGGUACCUGCAGAAGAAGCGCCGGCUAACUACGUGCCAGCAGCCGCGGUAAUACGUAGGGCGCAAGCGUUGUCCGGAAUUAUUGGGCGUAAAGAGCUCGUAGGCGGUUUGUCGCGUCUGCUGUGAAAACCUGAGGCUCAACCUCGGGCUUGCAGUGGGUACGGGCAGACUAGAGUGCGGUAGGGGUGACUGGAAUUCCUGGUGUAGCGGGUGGAAUGCGCAGAUAUCAGGAGGAACACCGAUGGCGAAGGCAGGUCACUGGGCCGCAACUGACGCUGA